GAUGAACGCUAGCGAUAGGCUUAACACAUGCAAGUCGAGGGGUAACGUGUUGGAAGCUUGCUUCCGAUGACGACGACCGGCGGAUGGGUGCGUAACGCGUAUGCAACUUGCCUCACAGUGGAGAAUAACCCGGAGAAAUCCGGACUAAUACUCCAUACACUCUUAAGUACGCCUGUACAUGAGAGGAAAGAUUUAUCGCUGUGAGAUAGGCAUCGUCCUAUUAGGUAGUUGGUGAGGUAACGGCUCACCAAGCCGACGAUAGGUAGGGGUGCUGAGAGGCAGAUCCCCCACAUUGGGACUGAGACACGGCCCAAACUCCUACGGGAGGCAGCAGUGAGGAAUAUUGGUCAAUGGAGGAAACUCUGAACCAGCCAAGUCGCGUGAAGGAAGAAUGUCCUAAGGAUUGUAAACUUCUUUAGCGAGCGAGUAAGGACUUCCACGUGAUGGGAGUUUGAAAGUAGCUCGAGAAUAAGUAUCGGCUAACUCCGUG
rnacentral:rRNA from 1 species